UGUUUGCAACUGAGAGAGGGUGAGUCAGGGUGCCGAUAUUUCUGUUGACCACUAAACGCUAACACUAACAUCUAAGUCCAAAUGCAAUACCAUCUAUGCAGAGCAAUGUUUUGUCGUAGUAUCAAUAAACACUCUUUAACUGCAGCUACGGACUCAUGCUCGUUCCUUGGACUCGUGUCGGACAGAUCUCCCUGUACUCGCCCUCUCAGCGGCUUAUAGUUGGUUUUGAUAGUCGCAUUACAGCCACUAAAUUAAUCAGCCGUUCCUCCUCCACGACACCGUGUCCUACAGCGCUUUCAAAGCGCGGGGCAGGAGAAAAGAAAGCAAUGCAGCGAGCUAUGACGUUCAGUGAGUCACAGCCAUGCCUAUUAGCCGACACACUGAUGCACAGGAAAACCCCAAAAGGAGAUGUAGUUAUGAUGAGCCAAAGGGUAAUGACUCCCACUGUGAGCUUUUCCCAGAAUGCACUGCUGUGCAGUACAGGAGGUUGGCAUCACUACAUCAACAAAGGAAAGUACACACCUCCUCCCUCCCCACCACAGCUCCCCCACUGUCGCUUAACCCGCUAGUUUUACAGCGAUCCAGCGGGCGACCGCUUCUACUUUCACACUAAUUUGUCCGGCGAGUGUUUCUUGUUUCAGAGUGAUAUGGAGGAAAGCAGUUCUACUUUUCACAACAAACCAGCAGGCGUUGUUUUGGAAGACGGAAGCACUGCAGCUGUGCCCUACAAAAGACUCACGCUGCAAAGGCUUCUGGGAUCCAGCAGGAGCUCCACCAAAAACUCCCUCGCCUGUGGAAAACUCUCAAAUUGUCAUGAAUCCUCUGCACCCUAAAAUAGUCUUUAAUGUACUUUUGUCCUGUGUCAUUAUGAGACUCUGCAUGCACAGUCAGCAGGUGCACACACCCCCUGAUAUAUUUCCGCUAUUUAUAUCUGCUUUCAAUGUUACAGCGGCAAAUAAAGGCCUAAGGAACUUUACACAA